rnacentral:snRNA from 1 species
CAGCUGGCUGGCUUGGCUGGUGUCCCCUCCGAACAUGUGUGCCAGUGGAAGAGAACAGCCUCCCCCCUCAGAGGAGGACUGUCCUCCUGCACCAGCGUACAAGUAGCUGCAUCCCUUGCUAGAACCUCCAAACAAGCUCCAAGGACAUUUAUAGAACACAGGACAGUCAGGCUUUCAUGACCCAGACACACCAGAAUGAGGCACUGUGCGUGACAGGCUGCUGCUUGUA